AUUCCAGCUCCAAUAGCGUAUAUUAAAGUUGUUGCGGUUAAAAAGCUCGUAGUUGGAUUUCUGCCGAGGACGACCGGUCCGCCCUCUGGGUGAGUAUCUGGCUCGGCCUGGGCAUCUUCUUGGAGAACGUAUCUGCACUUGACUGUGUGGUGCGGUAUCCAGGACUUUUACUUUGAGGAAAUUAGAGUGUUUCAAGCAGGCUUACGCCUUGAAUACAUUAGCAUGGAAUAAUAAGAUAGGACCUCGGUUCUAUUUUGUUGGUUUCUAGAGCUGAGGUAAUGAUUAAUAGGGAUAGUCAGGGGCACUCGUAUUCCGCCGAGAGAGGUGAAAUUCUCAGACCAGCGGAAGACGAACCACUGCGAAAGCAUUUGCCAGGGAUGUUUUCAUUG
rnacentral:rRNA from 1 species